rnacentral:rRNA from 1 species
CCGCCCGUCACACCAUGGGAGUGGGUUGCUCCAGAAGUAGCUAGUCUAACCGCAAGGGGGACGGUUACCACGGAGUGAUUCAUGACUGGGGUGAAGUCGUAACAAGGUAGCCGUAUCGGAAGGUGCGGCUGGAUCACCUCCUUUAG